rnacentral:rRNA from 1 species
UACGUAAGGGGCAAGCGUUGUCCGGAAUUAUUGGGCGUAAAGAGCUCGUAGGCGGUUUGUCGCGUCUAUCGUGAAAACUAGCAGCUUAACUGUUGGCGUGCGGUGGAUACGGGCAGACUUGAGUUCGGUAGGGGAGACUGGAAUUCCUGGUGUAGCGGUGAAAUGCGCAGAUAUCAGGAGGAACACCGGUGGCGAAGGCGGGUCUCUGGGCCGAUACUGACGCUGAGGAGCGAAAGCGUGGGGAGCGAACAGG